UACAGAGGUCUCAAGCGUUGUUCGGAUUCAUUGGGCGUAAAGGGUGCGUAGGUGGCGCCGUAAGUGGGGUGUGAAAUCUCGGGGCUUAACUCCGAAACUGCAUUCCAUACUGCGGUGCUUGAGGACUGGAGAGGAGACUGGAAUUUACGGUGUAGCAGUGAAAUGCGUAGAGAUCGUAAGGAAGACCAGUGGCGAAGGCGGCUCUCUGGCCUGCACCUGACGCUGAGGCGCGAAAGCGUGGGGAGCAAACAGG
rnacentral:rRNA from 1 species